rnacentral:lncRNA from 10 species
AGACAAUGGAGAGAUGAGAAAACCAGCUGCAGAAAGGAACUACCCUCUCUGCUGACAGCUGGACACGCGGCAGGAUGACCUGCCUAGCAGAGAGAGCUACCCUCUCUGCUGAGAGCUGAACACUCAUGGGGACACCCUGGCUUCAGAGAGGAGCUGCCCACUAUGAGAGACCUGGAGGAGACUUCAUGAUUUUAUUCAUCCCCCAAGAUUUCCUCAGGACUGGUACCAUUUUCCAUCACUGUCUUCUGCCGUCAGCAACAUGUGAGCUUUCUCCACAGGAUUUGAAUACAUGACAAGUUUG